CACCACUGCUGCAUCUCACGAUUCCUUCUCCCUCUUCUUCAUCCCCGUUGACCUCUCCGUCGAUCCCCUUUUGCCGGAUGCUAAGCUGCUCGAUUCCAGCUAUCUCUCGCGCAGCAGCUCAUGUGUGGAGUUUUCCUUUAGCUUCCUCUGCAUAUCCCUCCCUCCGUACGCACCCCCCAGCGGCUAACUCUAUCCGCGCUUACGGGUGUGCUGCCGUUUGGGUUGGCAGCGGCAGGCAAUGAAGAAAGAUCAUGCGGCGGUGCGCUGGCUAGCUCAGCACGCUGUUCCGGCGGGAAGGGCUAGAAGUGGUGCGGUUGUGGAGGUAUUAGGACCAGAUGGUGGAAGCACUCCAGCGACGGCGCUGGCACAUGCCCUAUGGAACGGGAACGAUGGGAAAAUGGUGCCAAGCGUUAUUCGUAUCAGAUUCAGUGAGUGCAAGCACCGGCAUCAGCCUCGUCUACAUCUAUUUAUGUUCCUCGUCGGCCAGAACAAUUUUAAGGCAGUGCAGCGUGCCCACCUGCGGUGAAGUGCACGACAACUAACAUGAACGGACAACACGGCAGUUCGUGCGCCGGCUAAUCUGAUGGCACCCAUCAGCACUGAGAUGCUCAAGGCGGCAGGCAGAAGGUCCUAUGGGAGAGAUAGUCCAUGGGUCGUGGGGUACAGUCAUUGCAGGAAACUCUGGUCCCAUAGAUAUCCACGGCGUUCACGCUUCGUGUUUUAGUCUCCUUAAAUGUUGGUUUCGGUGGUCUCGCUCUUGAGAAGAAAAACCGGAAAGAAGUGGAGCCUACUGGAGAUGGAUGAGAAAUCGUUCUCUUGGUUGCAGGAGGCAACAGUCAAAGGAAGGGGCAACUGGAGAGACCGUGGCAAGGAGUGGCCAACGGGGCUGUCGAAGGUAGCUACUUUAUGUCUGACGACCAGCAUAGAGAGGCAGCGUAGUCGUGGAGGUUAGCGCCUAGAGACGCGUGUUUGUGGAGGUAGCAGGGCGUUAAACAUCAUCGAUAAUUGCCAGUAGUGGCUUAGAAGCCGCCGGCCUGGUGGAACGGCAGCCGGGAUAGGAAGCUACUGGCAUUGCUGCUUCUGACCAUGUGAGGCCCAGGGUUAAAUCUGAAUAUCUGAUGCCCUCCUACAGCAGGGCCAAGGUCAAGCGGGAACAUAUGGUGCGGUAAAGGCCAAGUUGUCGGCGGCAGCCUCCUGCAAAUGUUUAUAGGUAGAAACCCUUUCACGAACUACUAUUUUCUAAAUCACAUGCUUUAUCUAGAUUUGGUACUUGAUCUAGAAAAUGUGUGUUUAUGUGGUGCGCCUGUGACAAUCUUUGCUAUUUAGUUGCACCAAGCUGCUUGGCGAAUGACCUGGUUGAUGCAUAAGAGAGGAAACAUGCUAGUUGGGUUUCUGAUGCACAUGGUAGACCAAUGGUCAUCCUAAGUACCUAGGAACAUAAGAUGGUAUUAAAAAGAAGGCAACAGUAUAACAUGAUUUUGUAAGCAUAUGACGAUUUGUUAGUAACUUAAUACAUUGUUUAGCACCCAAGUUGUUAUUUCCUAGUUUUCUUUGGAACUUAACAAAAGCAAAUUAUACCUUCUUUUAUCAUUAUCUUUUAUGAUGCAUCAGCAGGUGAAAGUGAAGGAAAAUCGACGCAAGCUGCAAGCCAGAUAGAUGUUUAAAUAUCUCACAUGGACUGGAUGGGAGCAGGGCCAGUAAUUGUUUGUCAUAAAAAAGACAUGGCAGUACCUCACAUGGGCUAGUGGUACCACUGCUUUAGCAUAAAGUAAGGAGAGAGAAAGAAGCAUCAGGGCAACCGGUAAGCCAAAAGUGACCGGGUAGAUGAGAUGGAACCGGGAGACCCCGGUGGUUCACCUAGAGUGGACUGUCAGCUUUUUGAGUCAAACAGGGUCUAGUGGGCCAGUCAAACCGAGUUUUUCAGGGUUUUGAUAAGGCUUUGCAGGGUCUAGGGAAGCCCACUGAAGUCCAGAUAGGUGUGUGGACACCAGUGUGCCACGUCGGUCAAAGUAGAUGCUACUGUAGCAAAAUCACCUUUCUACAGUACCAGGAUUGCUGUGAGCGCUCUAAAUUGUACAUCCUUUAUAUAGGG